rnacentral:rRNA from 1 species
CCAGACUCCUACGGGAGGCAGCAGUGGGGAAUAUUGCACAAUGGGGGAAACCCUGAUGCAGCGACGCCGCGUGAGUGAAGAAGUAUUUCGGUAUGUAAAGCUCUAUCAGCAGGGAAGAAAAAAGACGGUACCUGACUAAGAAGCCCCGGCUAACUACGUGCCAGCAGCCGCGGUAAUACGUAGGGGGCAAGCGUUAUCCGGAUUUACUGGGUGUAAAGGGAGCGUAGACGGCGCGGCAAGUCUGAAGUGAAAGACAGGGGCUUAACCCCUGAACUGCUUUGGAAACUGCCAUGCUAGAGUGCUGGAGAGGUAAGUGGAAUUCCUAGUGUAGCGGUGAAAUGCGUAGAUAUUAGGAGGAACACCAGUGGCGAAGGCGGCUUACUGGACAGUAACUGACGUUGAGGCUCGAAAGCGUGGGGAGCAAACAGGAUUAGAUACCCGUGUA